rnacentral:rRNA from 1 species
UACGAAGGGUGCUAGCGUUGUUCGGAAUUACUGGGCGUAAAGGGUGCGUAGGUUGUUUGGCAAGUUAGUGGUGAAAGCCCAGAGCUUAACUCUGGAAUUGCCAUUAAAACUGCCAGGCUAGAGAGUGUUAGAGGUGAGUGGAAUUUCUAGUGUAGGAGUGAGAUCCGUAGAUAUUAGAAGGAACAUCAAUGGCGAAGGCAGCUCACUGGGUCACAUCUGACACUGAGGCACGAAAGCGUGGGGAGCAAACAGG